rnacentral:rRNA from 1 species
AUGGCUCAGGACGAACGCUGGCGGCGUGCCUAAUACAUGCAAGUCGAGCGGAUGAAGGAGGAGCUUGCUCCUCCAGAUUCAGCGGCGGACGGGUGAGUAACACGUGGGCAACCUGCCCUGUAGAUUGGGAUAACUCCGGGAAACCGGGGCUAAUACCGAAUAAUCCACCAGACCACAUGGUCCGGUGUUGAAAGGCGGCUUCGGCUGUCACUACAGGAUGGGCCCGCGGCGCAUUAGCUAGUUGGUGGGGUAACGGCCCACCAAGGCGACGAUGCGUAGCCGACCUGAGAGGGUGAUCGGCCACACUGGGACUGAGACACGGCCCAGACUCCUACGGGAGGCAGCAGUAGGGAAUCUUCCACAAUGGACGAAAGUCUGAUGGAGCAACGCCGCGUGAGUGAAGAAGGUUCUCGGAUCGUAAAACUCUGUUGUGAGGGAAGAACAAGUACCGGAGUAACUGCCGGUACCUUGACGGUACCUCAUUAGAAAGCCACGGCUAACUACGUGCCAGCAGCCGCGGUAAUACGUAGGUGGCAAGCGUUGUCCGGAAUCAUUGGGCGUAAAGCGCGCGCAGGCGGUCCCUUAAGUCUGAUGUGAAAGCCCACGGCUCAACCGUGGAGGGUCAUUGGAAACUGGGGGACUUGAGUGCAGAAGAGGAAAGCGGAAUUCCAAGUGUA